UGAAGAGUAAUAAGUGUAACAUAAAACUAUUUAGUAUAGUCAUAUCUAGAGAGAGAGAGAGGAGAGAGAUAUGGGAAGAGGGAGAGUAGUUUUAGAGAGAAUAGAGAAUAAGAUAAACAGACAAGUAACAUUUUCAAAGAGAAGAAGUGGAUUGUUGAAGAAAGCCUUUGAGCUUUGUGUUCUAUGUGAUGCUGAAGUUGCUCUCAUCAUCUUUUCAAGCCGUGGCAAGCUUUUCCAAUAUAGUAGCACAGAUAUUAGCAAAAUAAUUGAAAGGUAUCGCCAAUGUCGUUACAACAAGUUACAAGCUGCCAACUCAUUUGGACAUGAAUCACAGAACAUAUACCAGGAGUACUUGAAAUUAAAAGGAAAAUAUGAAUCUCUUGAUCGCAGGCAGAGGCAUUUUCAUGGGGAAGAACUCGAAGCACUUAGCAUGAAAGAAUUGCAGAGCCUCGAGGAACAGCUUGAGUCAACUCUUGCACAAGUUCGACAGCAACAAGAUGGUUGUGACUAUGGUAGUACCUGUAAAGGCACUCCAACACCCAAUUCAAUAAUACUAUGACGAAGAAGCUAUUGUCACGAGCUGAGGAAUUACGUGAAAAGGUGCAUAACUUGGAGGAGCUUAACAAAAAAUUGGAGUCCAAGAGAAUGGAUGAAUUCUCAAACCUCGUUGCUGACAAAAAUAGCCAUAUUCAAUUGCAUGCUAUACAAGCCAAUCAUUUUGAAUAAGAGAAAACCUUGAAAAUAUGUAUGCUAUAUUUCUUUUUGGCCUUUAAUUGUUAUUACCAACCUUCUCAUUAGUAUAAUGACAUAAGAUAUUAGUGAUAUAAUUUUGCAUAAACUAUUAAUUAAUGUGAGAAUUUUUCAAAAAUAAUCAAUUAAAUUAAUGAUACACUUUGAGAACAAUAUAAAAAUAGUUUAAAAGACGUAUGAUAUAACACAUGACAAUCUAGAUGGUCGUAGGACAUGUAAAACACUUAGGAUCACAUGCAUGUCGUAGGGUACCCAAUGUGGUGUAGGGAGACCAUGGUGUGAUCUUUCCAUUAGUUAUUAAUUGGAUAUAUUCUUCAA